rnacentral:rRNA from 1 species
UUGCCCUAGUAACGGCGAGUGAAGCGGCAACAGCUCAAAUUUGAAAUCUGGCCCUCGGGUCCGAGUUGUAAUUUGUAGAGGAUGCUUUUGGCGCGGUGCCUUCCGAGUUCCCUGGAACGGGACGCCUUAGAGGGUGAGAGCCCCGUACGGUUGGACACCAAGCCUCUGUAAAGCUCCUUCGACGAGUCGAGUAGUUUGGGAAUGCUGCUCUAAAUGGGAGGUAAAUUUCUUCUAAAGCUAAAUAUUGGCCAGAGACCGAUAGCGCACAAGUAGAGUGAUCGAAAGAUGAAAAGCACUUUGAAAAGAGGGUUAAACAGCACGUGAAAUUGUUGAAAGGGAAGCGUUUGCGACCAGACCUCGCCCCGGCGGAUCAUCCGGCGUUCUCGCCGGUGCACUCCGCCGGGCUGAGGCCAGCAUCGGUUUCCGCGGGGGGACAAAAGCGGGGGGAACGUAGCUCCCUCGGGAGUGUUAUAGCCCUCCGCAUAAUACCCUCGCGGGGACCGAGGACCGCGCUUCGGCAAGGAUGCUGGCGUAAUGGUCGUCAACGACCCGU